GCCGUGCAGAUGUACACUGCACAAAAAUUACAAACCAAAUUAGACAAAUACAAUUUAUUUGAUUAGCACUUUAUGGCCCAAGCCUGUAAUACAGCACCCUGAGAGCUGACACAAGAACAUAGCUGUGAGUUCAAGGCCAAGUUGUGCUACAUAACAAGACCCUGCCCAAAAAGGGGCCAGGGCCGGGAAGAUGGUUCUUUGGGUUCAUUGCUGCCAAGCCCGGUGACCUCAGUUUGAAGCCAGGACCUACUUGGAAGAAGGAAAAUGGCAUCAUCCCUGACUUCAGUUUCUAACACCAGCACUUGCCAAGUGAAAGAAGGAGGAUGCAGUGAAAAUCUUUUCAAUAAGGAUAAACUAAGAUACUGGAAGAGGCUGGACUGACAUGGGUACAAAGGACAACUCCAGUGUAGCCAAACACAAAUGGAGCCAGUGGACUGGAACUACCACCCAACACUGUAUUGUAUAAUCUGGUCAAAAAGAAAGAAAGAAAAAUGUUGGCUGCUCUUGCGUAGAAGAUCUUGGGCCAAGGCUCCCAUUUGACAGCAUGUCUGUUCUUAUGAAUCUAGCCUAGCUGGGUAUGGUGACAUACACCUGUAAGCCCAGGGACCAGUAGUCAGAGACAAAAGAAUUGAGCUUCAAUCUUGAUUAAAUAGUGAUCUUGAGGCCAGCUUGGGCUGUGAGAACCUAUCUCAAAAUAAUAAUACAUCUAUAAUCCUAGCACUGGAGAGGCAGGGCAAGAAAGAUUUCCUCAAAUUCUAGACCAGUCUAAGUCAGUCUACUCUACCUUGCAAGUACCAGGUCAAACCAAGGAUAUAGAAGUAGCCUGUCUCAAAAACAAAGUAAACAAAUAAACAAAAUAAAAACUCUAUUCUUUGGAGCUAUGAUGUGGGACAUUCUUCUGUA